rnacentral:rRNA from 1 species
UCCUAUGGGGCGUAGCAGUGAGGAAUAUUGGUCAAUGGGCUUACGCCUGAACCAGCCAAGUCGCGUGAGGGAAGACUGCCCUAUGGGUUGUAAACCUCUUUUGUCAGGGGGCAACGCCGGCUACGUGUAGCCGGACUGAGAGUACCUGAAGAAAAAGCAUCGGCUAACUCCGUGCCAGCAGCCGCGGUAAUACGUAGGGAGCAAGCGUUAUCCGGAUUUAUUGGGUGUAAAGGGUGCGUAGACGGGAAAUUAAGUUAGUUGUGAAAUCCCUCGGCUCAACUGAGGAACUGCAACUAAAACUGGUU